UGAGUGAGUGAGGGAAGGUGGGGGAGAGCAAGCAACAGAGGGAAGGGGAUGGAGUGAGCAGGGGGGGCGGGCUAGGGGUAGGGACAGGGCAAGGGUGUUUGGUUUUGUGUGAUUAGAAAGUUGGCAACCCUAUUUGGAAAACCCCCGUCUGAUACUGAGGUAGCUGGCUCCAGCAGCUUCCAGUGCAGUAUGUCUGGAUGGGCCUUUCUGGCAGGGACACCAAACAGGCAACCAGAGAAAUUGAGAAAUUGUUAGGAAGAGGUGAAACGCUUGUGCUGCGGCUUGACUGGGCCAUGCCGCUUUUCACUCUCCUCCAUACAGCCAGCCCUGGAGGGACUAGAGGGAUAGCAGCCCAGACAUAGACAAACUUGUAGGCUGACCAUGUGUGAGAUGGUCCCCCAAAUGGGGGCAAGUGGAAGGAAUUUUCAAAGUGUUGGUUCAAGGCUACAUCAGAAGAACGAAUUUUAGGCAGACAUGUCUAGCCUAGUUUACACUUUAGCAUUAAAUGCAACUCCAAAACCAAGCCUAUUGUCAUCCCCUUCUUCCUCCAACAGGAAGGAAACAUGAGAGUAUGAAGAUUGCAGCAUGUCAUCUGCUUCAGACAGGGGCUCUCAAUGUCAUUUGGAAGAUGGAUUCCGCCAUAUCUGGAUUAAAUUCCUUAUCCUGCAGAUGCAUCUUCUCUCAAUAAGAAAGUGGGAGAAUAUUCUGCUCUGACAAAGGCGUCCUGGACAGUAACUCCACCACAAGGAAAUGCAGCUAUGUUUCCAUGCCCUCUUGCCCAGGUUUAGCACUGCUGCAAAGCCCCAAAUCCAGAUUACAUAAUCCCCUCUUCCAAAGUGUAAACAUGAUUUUAUAAUACUAUAAAUAUGCAUAUAUAAAUAUACUUUGUAUUUUUUCAAGAUCUUUGUUAGAAACUGGCUAAUUUAACACUUCAAGGAGUAUGUGCUGAGAAUGAUGUGCUGUAGCCUAUUCAUAUAAAAUUGUGUGUAGCUUUAAAAAAUAUUAAAAUUAACUUCACCCUUACAGCAUAUUUCAUCCAUGUUUCCCCAAGACACAUGCCCACAGGUUCCUCUGCUUCUUGUUCUUUCUUAUUUCAUUUUGGGGAUGUGUUUUCGUAUUUUUUGUUUUGUUUCAAAAGGUUCUGCAUAUAGUGGGAGGUGAGGCAACACUGGUCUUGGCAGAACACCACAAAACCAAGAGAGUAAUUACAUGACGCAAGUCUUUGAUUAUUUUUUUCUCUGUAAAACUUUCUGGCACGGCUGGGCAUUCCAGUUGCAAAAGAAGGAACGGGAGAAGAAACUUCUAAAGAUCUGCACGGAGAGUUAGAAGAACUUUUCUGUUAAAGUUUUACUACCUAAAAUAAAAGCACUUCCCAGCGCA
rnacentral:lncRNA from 1 species